UCCGGUUUAUCACCGGCAGUCUCCAUAGAGUCCUCGCCAUUACGCGUUAGUAACUAUGAACAAGGGUUGCGCUCGUUGCGGGACUUAACCCAACACCUCACGGCACGAGCUGACGACAGCCGUGCAGCAUCUGUGCACGCUCCCUUGCGGGUCAUUCCUGUUUCCAGGUCUUACCACGUGCAUGUCAAGCCCAGGUAAGGUUCUUCGCGUUGCGUCGAAUUAAACCACACGCUCCGCUGCUUGUGCGGGCCCCCGUCAAUUCCUUUGAGUUUCAGCCUUGCGGCCGUACUCCCCAGGCGGGGCACUUAACGCGUAAGCUGCGACACGGAGAGGGCCGAUCCCCCCCGCAUCCAGUGCCCAUCGUUUACAGCGUGGACUAC
rnacentral:misc_RNA from 1 species